rnacentral:rRNA from 1 species
AUUGAACGCUGGCGGCAUGCCUUACACAUGCAAGUCGAACGGCAGCGCGGGGCAACCUGGCGGCGAGUGGCGAACGGGUGAGUAAUAUAUCGGAACGUGCCCUGGAGUGGGGGAUAACGCAGCGAAAGUUGCGCUAAUACCGCAUACGAUCUAAGGAUGAAAGCAGGGGACCGGCAAGGCCUUGUGCUCCUGGAGCGGCCGAUAUCUGAUUAGCAGUUGGUGGGGUAAAGGCCUACCAAGGCAUCGAUCAGUAGCUGGUC